rnacentral:rRNA from 1 species
AUUCCAGCUCCAAUAGCGUAUAUUAAAGUUGUUGCAGUUAAAAAGCUCGUAGUUGAAUAUCGGGGAAGCGUAUCCGGUCUAGCUUCGUGCUUGCACUGGAUGGCGCGACCCUCUUUUCUGGGGAAGCAAGGUGUCCUUCACUGGGCGCCUUGGGGAACCAGGACGAUUACCUUGAGAAAAAUAGAGUGUUCAAAGCAGGCAAUUGCUUGAAUACGUUAGCAUGGAAUAAUAAAAUAGGACUUUGGUUCUAUUUUGUUGGUUUUAAGGACCAAUGUCAUGAUGAAUAGGGACAGUUGGGGGCAUUCGUAUUCCGAAGCUAGAGGUGAAAUUCUUGGAUUUUCGGAAGACGAACCACUGCGAAAGCAUUUGCCAAAGAUGUUUUCAUCG